rnacentral:rRNA from 1 species
GACGAACGCUGGCGGCGUGCUUAACACAUGCAAGUCGAACGAAGUGGCGAACGGGUGAGUAACGCGUAAUCAACCUGCCCUUCAGGGGGGAACAACAGUUGGAAACGACUGCUAAUACCGCAUACGGAAGGAGGGGAUUGCGUCUGAUUAGCUAGUUGGAGGGGUAACGGCCCACCAAGGCGAAGGUCAGUAGCCGGCCUGAGAGGGUGAACGGCCACAGUGGGACUGAGACACGGCCCAGACUCCUACGGGAGGCAGCAGUGGGGAAUCGUCGGCAAUGGACGGAAGUCUGACGGAGCAACGCCGCGUGAGUGAAGACGGCUUUCGGGUUGUAAAGCUCUGUUAUUCGGGAAGCGGUACCUGAAUAGAAAGCCACGGCUAACUACGUGCCAGCCGCCGCGGUAAUAC